UGCCAGACUCCUACGGGAGGCAGCAGUGGGGAAUAUUGCACAAUGGGGGAAACCCUGAUGCAGCAACGCCGCGUGAGUGAGGAAGUAUUUCGGUAUGUAAAGCUCUAUCAGCAGGGAAUAGAAAAGAAGGUACCUGAAAAAGAAGCCCCGGCUAACUACGUGCCAGCAGCCGCGGUAAUACGUAGGGGGCAAGCGUUAUCCGGAUUUACUGGGUGUAAAGGGCGUGUAGGCGGGAAUGCAAGUCAGAUGUGAAAACUAUGGGCUCAACCCAUAGCCUGCAUUUGAAACUGUAUUUCUUGAGUGCUGGAGAGGCAAUCGGAAUUCCGUGUGUAGCGGUGAAAUGCGUAGAUAUACGGAGGAACACCAGUGGCGAAGGCGGAUUGCUGGACAGUAACUGACGCUGAGGCGCGAAAGCGUGGGGAGCAAACAGGAUUAGAUACCCCCGUAC
rnacentral:rRNA from 1 species